GUGGGGCUUCGGCCCCAUUGAGAUAGCACCCUUUGUUUAUGAGUACCCUUGUUUCCUCGGCGGGCUUGCCCGCCAUGAGGACAUCAAAAACCCUUUGUAGUAGCAGUAACUUCAGUCAAUAAUAAACAUUAAAACUUUCCACAACGGAUCUCUUGGUUCU
rnacentral:misc_RNA from 1 species